UCGGGAAUAUUGCGCAAUGGAGGAAACUCUGACGCAGUGACGCCGCGUGCAGGAAGAAGGUUUCGGAUUGUAAACUGCUUUAGACAGGGAAGAAAAAAGACAGUACCUGUAGAAUAAGCUCCGGCUAACUACGUGCC
rnacentral:rRNA from 1 species